GCUGGCGGUCUGCUUACUCCGGCAAAGACGGGGGCGCAUCGGGCCGUUUGAGGAAGGCAGACUGUGAAAGGACUUGGGACAAAGAUGAGGCGGAGUAGAGGCGGCCUGAGCAGAGCAGAACAACUUUGAUAUUUAGUUUUAUUUAACUCGCACUCCUCUCCUUGCUCCCCUUCCCCAAAACAACUUUCUCUUCCGGGGUCACACAGGACCGCCCCAAAGCGUACCUUGCGCGCCGGGGGCGCCAGGCGCUACUGGAUUCGGUGUAGUUUUGAGGUGUUUGCACCACCCUCGCUGCUGCUUUCGUGGCUGCCCGUGUGCCCGCUGCUCACGGCUGCCCCAGAAGUGUGAGCUGGCCGCGCCCGGCCCUCUGGUCCUCGGGCACCGCCUGCAGGCUUUGUAACUUGGGAGCACAUCUCUGGUGAUCAUGGUUUAUGCAGUGAGUGAUAGUAAAUCCUCCUCCCUGUACCAGCAAAGGCAUAGGAGUCUGAGAGUCUGCGAGAUUCUCAUAGAUGUGGUUGCACCUGGCAAGGAGCCCAGCUGCAGAAAUAAGCAGGCAAACGCGAGUUUCUGAGCCAGUUCCAGCCCGGCCCAGAUGUUGGCCCCUGACAACUAGCUGUGGCUGGUGCGGAGGGAGGAGCGAGGGAAGAGGGGCAGAUCGAGGCUGCCAGAAACAUAUGAAGCUCAUUUCUGCCACCCUUCCUAGAAAACUGGUUCCUGACAGAGACAUGUGGAAAGGUAAGUAAACCUGGGCCCAAGAUCACAGAGCACACAGCUGGAAUUCACAGCAAGACCUGAUUGACUUCGAAGUCAGUGGUCUUUCCCCUGCUUCCCACGAGACAGGUUACUACAUGAAGAGCUGGGACUGGAAUACAGGUUUUCUAUGUUCACCUGGGGAUAGCUUUUCCAUCAUCCCUCCUGAGUCUGUGAGUUUUGAUCAUCGAUGAUUUUCUGGUUCUAAUGAGAUCAAGGACAUGAAGAGGCUGAGUGCCUCCAUGAGCUUCAUUAUUUUCCAUGAUCUGACCUCUCAUUCUCUUAAGCUUUGGAGUUGGAUGAAGGAAGAACUCUGAAAAAAAGUAUCUGCACCCAAGGACCCACACCCAAGGAGCAGUACCAGAGGGAACACAUCUGAAGAGCCCUAUCUGGAUUUGCCAACAUGAUUUAGAUGAUAAGAUACUGGACUUUGAGCUGGUGCCAUAAUGGGAUGAGGCUUUGGGAGUCCAAAGGGAGAUAAGUGUAAGUGUAUUUCACCGGUGAAGAAUGUAAAACAUAAAAGGCCAGAACAUGAACUCUGCAGCUAAUCUCCAAAGAUGGCUCUCAGUGAACCACACCUCAUGGAAUUCAUGUCCUUGCAUAGUCCCCUCCCGCACUGAAUCUGGGUUAACUUUGUGACUUUCUCUAACUAUCAGAAUGUGACAGAAGUAACAAUAUGAUACAUCCCUCCAUUUAGUGAGAUCAUCUUUAAUUUCUCCCAAUAAUGUUUUGUAGUUUUCUGUGUAGAGGUCUUACAAAUUUUUUAGAUUGAUUCUUUGACAUGUGACUUUUCUAUGCUGUUGAUAAAUGAUAUUUUGUUAAAAUUUUUAUUUUCUAAUUGCUUGUUACUAGCAUAUAGAAACUUAAUUACAUAUAGAAACUAAGUACAGGACUUUGUUUAUUGACUAUGUAUUCAGUGGCCUUGGUUAAUUCCUCUUUUAAUUGUAAUAGUUUUUCUGUAGUUCUUUUGGAUUUUUCUAUGUGUAUAAUUAUAUAUGAAUAAUGACAGAUUCAUUUCUUAAUUUCCAGUCC
ensembl:lncRNA novel transcript